GGGAGAAUGGACUGAGGGGACUUGGGGGAAAAUGGACUGAGGGGACUCGGGGGAAAAUGGACUGAGGGGACUCAGGGGAAAAUGGACUGAGGAUACUCUCGGAGGAUGAACUGAGGAUACUCGCGGAGGAUGCACUGAGGAUACUCGGGGGAGGACGGACUGAGGGGAUUCGGGGAGAAUGGACUGAGGGGACUUGGGGGAAAAUGGACUGAGGGGACUCGAGGGAAAAUGGACUGAGGGGACUCGCGGAGGAUGCACUGAGGAUACUCGCGGAGGAUGCACUGAGGAUACUCGCGGAGGAUGGACUGAGGUUACUCGCGGAGGAUGGACUGAGGAUACUCGCGGAGGAUGGACUGAGGAUACUCGGGGGAAAAUGGACUGAGGGGACUCGGGGGAAAAUGGACUGAGGAUACUCGGGGGAAAAUGGACUGAGGGGACUCGCGGAGGAUGAACUGAGGAUACUCGCGGAGGAUGGACUGAGGAUACUCGCGGAGGAUGGACUGAGGAUACUCGGGGGAAAAUGGACUGAGGGGACCCGGGGGAGGAUAGACUCAGGAUACUCAGAGAGGAUGGACUGAGGGGACUCGGGGGAGGAUGGAUUCAGGAUACUCAGAGAGGAUGGACUGAGGGGGCUCGGGGGAGGAUGGACUCAGGAUACGCAGAGAGGAUGGACUGAGGGGACUCAGGGGAGGAUGGACUGAGGAUACUUGGGAGAGGAUGGACUGAGGAUAUUCGGAGAGGAUGGACUGAGGGGACUCGGGAGAGGAUGGACUGAGGAUACUCGGAGAGGAUGGACUGAGGGGACUCGGGGGAGGAUGGACUCAGGAUACUCGGAGAGGAUGGACUGAGGGGACUUGGGGGAGGAUGGACUCAGGAUACUCAGGAUGGACUGAGGGGACUCGGGGGAGGAUGGACUCAGGAUACUCAGAGAGGAUGGACUGAGGGGACUCAGGGGAGGAUGGACUGAGGAUACUCGGAGAGGAUGGACUGAGGGGACUUGGGGGAGGAUGGACUCAGGAUACUGAGAGAGGAUGGACUGAGGGGACUCAGGGCAGGAUGGACUGAGGAUACUAGCGGAAGAUGGACUGAGAAGACUCGGGGAAGAGUGGACUGAGGAUACUCGCGGAGGACGGACUGAGAAGACUCGGGGGACGAUGCACUGAGGAUACUCGUGGAGGAUGGACUGAGAAGACUCAGGGAGGAUGGGCUGAAGAUACUCGGGGAGGAUGCACUGAGGAUACUUGGAGAGGAUGGACUGAGAGGACUCGGGGAAGAAUGGACUGAGGGGACUCGGAGAGGAUGGAUUGAGGAUACUCUGGGGAGGAUGCACUGAGGGCGCUCUGGGAAGGAUGAACUGAGGAGACUCAUGAAUAGUCUCCCACUACUCUAUCAGAGAUAACCACAUUUUAGCAAACACUCCGUUGGAGUCACCCCAUGCACACAUGUGUACAUGCAGCCAAGCCUUUUCCCACGCUAUUAGCUGGUGCAAGUUCCAUCCCUGGAUUUUAAGCAUGGGUCGCCUGGAAGAGCUUUGUUAGAGGAAGAAGAAAGAGGUGUAUCUCAGGAAAAUCCUGGUUCCCAAAGUUGCACAUUAUGUCAGAUGUACCUGUCUUUGACGGCUGGGAGAGCGGACAAGACCCUGCCCCAGCCCUGGCCAGGAAUGGUGGCUGGUGAGCCCCUAGUUGCAGGCAACCUGGACCUGUCCUCGCGGCACCUGAAGAGGGGAAAGGAGACUUGAGGAGAAUGACUGUCCCCAGGCGACCGCCCAUGAACACCUGAGCACCCAUCUGAUAAACAGCCUGGAGUCACUGGAGAGUGACAGCUUCCAUGUAUAUUCAUAUAUGCUCACCAUUAUUUUUCAUAACCACAUCACAUUGCAUCAUUUUAAUGUAUCAUAAUUUUCUCAACCAGCCCCAUCCAGAAGCUUCUUAACCCAAUCUCUUUCUAAGGCCCUCCAAAGGGCUGGAAGAGGGAGCAUCUUUAUUUUGCUGCUGCCAUCAGGGGUCUUGGGAGAGUCCCCUUGGAUCCUGAUUUUUCAGGGCUUGAUACCUGAGAAUAACUGACAGAAAUUUUGAGAACUGUGCCCCCAGUAAUAACAAUAAUUAACAUUGUUUUCAGUACUCUGGGCCAGGCACUGUUCUAAGCACUUUGUACAUAUUAUCUAAGUGACUCUUCACAACAACAACCUUCUGAGGGAGUUCAGCAUGCCCUGCCAAAUCUUACCCAUAGAACAGAUGCCUGUGGCGCUGCGGUGGUGCCCAACAGCUCUGAGUUUCAGCCUCUUCUUCCUGGGACUUAACCUCUCACUCUCCACUGCUGUCCUUUGAACACACAGGAGUAAAUUGGUGAGCACCAUUCAUUCAAAUGCACGGUGAGAAGUGUAGUGGGGAGAUGCAAAAGAAGAAUGAAAUAGCCCACAGAAGAUUUCCACACAAGCUGAUAAAUAUACACCUGUGGUUCUCGUUAACCACAGGAGUCAGUGUGGCCCUGUGUGAUAUAAUAAAGAAUAAACCUUUGGUCUCUGCCCCUAGUUCCUGGCACCGUGCUCCUGAAACCCUUGUACUUUCCUAAGUGAUAGUCGUGCUAGGAGCAUCUUUUGUUCUAAUAUUUAGUCUUUGACCUUGG
rnacentral:lncRNA from 1 species